AUUGAACGCUGGCGGCAGGCUUAACACAUGCAAGUCGAACGAUGAUUAUCUAGCUUGCUAGAUAUGAUUAGUGGCGGACGGGUGAGUAACAUUUAGGAAUCUGCCUAGUAGUGGGGGAUAGCUCGGGGAAACUCGAAUUAAUACCGCAUACGACCUACGGGUGAAAGGGGGCGCAAGCUCUUGCUAUUAGAUGAGCCUAAAUCAGAUUAGCUAGUUGGUGGGGUAAAGGCCCACCAAGGCGACGAUCUGUAACUGGUCUGAGAGGAUGAUCAGUCACACCGGAACUGAGACACGGUCCGGACUCCUACGGGAGGCAGCAGUGGGGAAUAUUGGACAAUGGGGGCAACCCUGAUCCAGCCAUGCCGCGUGUGUGAAGAAGGCCUUUUGGUUGUAAAGCACUUUAAGCAGGGAGGAGAGGCUAAUGGUUAAUACCCAUUAGAUUAGACGUUACCUGCAGAAUAAGCACCGGCUAACUCUGUGCCAGCAGCCGCGGUAAUACAGAGGGUGCGAGCGUUAAUCGGAAUUACUGGGCGUAAAGCGAGUGUAGGUGGCUCAUUAAGUCACAUGUGAAAUCCCCGGGCUUAACCUGGGAACUGCAUGUGAUACUGGUGGUGCUAGAAUAUGUGAGAGGGAAGUAGAAUUCCAGGUGUAGCGGUGAAAUGCGUAGAGAUCUGGAGGAAUACCGAUGGCGAAGGCAGCUUCCUGGCAUAAUAUUGACACUGAGAUUCGAAAGCGUGGGUAGCAAACAGGAUUAGAUACCCUGGUAGUCCACGCCGUAAACGAUGUCUACUAGCCGUUGGGGUCCUUGAGACUUUAGUGGCGCAGUUAACGCGAUAAGUAGACCGCCUGGGGAGUACGGCCGCAAGGUUAAAACUCAAAUGAAUUGACGGGGGCCCGCACAAGCGGUGGAGCAUGUGGUUUAAUUCGAUGCAACGCGAAGAACCUUACCUGGUCUUGACAUAGUGAGAAUCCUGCAGAGAUGCGGGAGUGCCUUCGGGAAUUCACAUACAGGUGCUGCAUGGCUGUCGUCAGCUCGUGUCGUGAGAUGUUGGGUUAAGUCCCGCAACGAGCGCAACCCUUUUCCUUGUUUGCCAGCGGGUUAAGCCGGGAACUUUAAGGAUACUGCCAGUGACAAACUGGAGGAAGGCGGGGACGACGUCAAGUCAUCAUGGCCCUUACGACCAGGGCUACACACGUGCUACAAUGGUAGGUACAGAGGGUUGCUACACAGCGAUGUGAUGCUAAUCUCAAAAAGCCUAUCGUAGUCCGGAUUGGAGUCUGCAACUCGACUCCAUGAAGUCGGAAUCGCUAGUAAUCGCAGAUCAGAAUGCUGCGGUAAAUACGUUCCCGGGCCU
rnacentral:rRNA from 1 species